AUCUAGCUGACGAGUCCCAAAUAGGAUGAAAAGUGCGUCCUGGAU
rnacentral:hammerhead_ribozyme from 1 species